GCCAGGUGUGGUGGCACACGCCUAUAAUCCCAGCAGCUUGGGAGGCUGAGGCAGGAGGAUGGAAAGUUUAAAGCCAGCCUCAGCAAAAGCAAGGUGCCAAGCAACUUAGUCAGACUCUGUCUCUA
rnacentral:sRNA from 1 species